AACGUCCCAUUUCAUUAGUAGAAAGACAUCAUAUGCAGCUGGAGCUUAGAUCCUGUGCAAAAUGAAAGGCCAAAACUUGUACAAGAAAAGGACUCGGUUCUAAAUUUAAAACAGAAUUAAACAAUGUUAGGGUUAAGCUUAUGCGGUUACUGACCACAGACCACUCCAUUAAUGUUGUUUUAGGAUGGGUGCGAGAGAAAGAUUCUCGUCUGUAACUUUGACAGUUUACCUAUGAUAGUUGGAAGUAUCGUGGAGCGUGAGAGUUCC
rnacentral:lncRNA from 1 species